GCCAAUACCAUUUAGCAUUUUUAUAUGUAAAUCACAUUUAUAUGAACUGGUGCUGAUCAUGAUGAUAGUUAUUGGCAUAUCACAUAGAAAUAAACAUUAGAACGAUAUUUAAUAUAUUUGAUAAUCUGGAGCAAUCAUACCUACAUAAAAAAAUAAGGGUAUGUGGUACGGUUGCCAAUAUGACUCCUAUCCACCAGAGUUAAAAAAAAUAGAGACCGUUCUCUUUCAAGAAAGAAAACUUGAAAACAGCUUUUGAAAUAGUAUGACAUACACAACCAGUACGUGAAAGAUUCUGCAUAGGACGAGCAUCAAACCCUUCAAUUAAGAAAACAUAAGGAGAUGUCAUAAUUUAAAAAACUAGGAGAUGUGAUAUGAUUGCCAAUGAGACAACUAUCUACCAAAGUUCAAACAAAGCAGAUGUAGGCAAUAAUAGGCUACGGUACCAUCUUCAAUAAUGAAAAACACACAUACCAUAAAAGAUACCGACAUGAAAAAUUAAUUCAAAUGAAAAAAAAACUGGGCUAAUUUAUAUCAAAACAAUUCACGAAAAACAACUAUGACAGUGAGUAACCAACGACAAAUGAUUACUAAUGUCUGUUAAAUCUAUAUUUCGAGUUUAAAUAUAGAAAAUAAAAUACAGUAAAGGUUAUAUAAGUUUAUAACUAUCAUACUAUGUAAAAGAAUGACGAAAAGGUAUUUAACAUAACUAAAACUGUUGCAAUUCGGUUAACGAGUACAAUACACAAAACAAAGCACUCAAUAAGAUUCAAUGUUUGCUUUAAAAAAUACACGUCAGUACAUAAAAUAAACCCGC
rnacentral:lncRNA from 1 species